AAAUUGAAGAGUUUGAUCAUGGCUCAGAUUGAACGCUGGCGGCAGGCCUAACACAUGCAAGUCGAACGGUAACAGGAAGCAGCUUGCUGCUUCGCUGACGAGUGGCGGACGGGUGAGUAAUGUCUGGGAAGCUGCCUGAUGGAGGGGGAUAACUACUGGAAACGGUGGCUAAUACCGCAUAACGUCGCAAGACCAAAGAGGGGGACCUUCGGGCCUCUUGCCAUCAGAUGUGCCCAGAUGGGAUUAGCUAGUUGGUGAGGUAACGGCUCACCAAGGCGACGAUCCCUAGCUGGUCUGAGAGGAUGACCAGCCACACUGGAACUGAGACACGGUCCAGACUCCUACGGGAGGCAGCAGUGGGGAAUAUUGCACAAUGGGCGCAAGCCUGAUGCAGCCAUGCCGCGUGUAUGAAGAAGGCCUUCGGGUUGUAAAGUACUUUCAGCGGGGAGGAAGGUGUUGUGGUUAAUAACCGCAGCAAUUGACGUUACCCGCAGAAGAAGCACCGGCUAACUCCGUGCCAGCAGCCGCGGUAAUACGGAGGGUGCAAGCGUUAAUCGGAAUUACUGGGCGUAAAGCGCACGCAGGCGGUCUGUCAAGUCGGAUGUGAAAUCCCCGGGCUCAACCUGGGAACUGCAUUCGAAACUGGCAGGCUUGAGUCUUGUAGAGGGGGGUAGAAUUCCAGGUGUAGCGGUGAAAUGCGUAGAGAUCUGGAGGAAUACCGGUGGCGAAGGCGGCCCCCUGGACAAAGACUGACGCUCAGGUGCGAAAGCGUGGGGAGCAAACAGGAUUAGAUACCCUGGUAGUCCACGCCGUAAACGAUGUCUACUUGGAGGUUGUGCCCUUGAGGCGUGGCUUCCGGAGCUAACGCGUUAAGUAGACCGCCUGGGGAGUACGGCCGCAAGGUUAAAACUCAAAUGAAUUGACGGGGGCCCGCACAAGCGGUGGAGCAUGUGGUUUAAUUCGAUGCAACGCGAAGAACCUUACCUGGUCUUGACAUCCACAGAACUUUCCAGAGAUGGAUUGGUGCCUUCGGGAACUGUGAGACAGGUGCUGCAUGGCUGUCGUCAGCUCGUGUUGUGAAAUGUUGGGUUAAGUCCCGCAACGAGCGCAACCCUUAUCCUUUGUUGCCAGCGAUUAGGUCGGGAACUCAAAGGAGACUGCCAGUGAUAAACUGGAGGAAGGUGGGGAUGACGUCAAGUCAUCAUGGCCCUUACGACCAGGGCUACACACGUGCUACAAUGGCGCAUACAAAGAGAAGCGACCUCGCGAGAGCAAGCGGACCUCAUAAAGUGCGUCGUAGUCCGGAUUGGAGUCUGCAACUCGACUCCAUGAAGUCGGAAUCGCUAGUAAUCGUGGAUCAGAAUGCCACGGUGAAUACGUUCCCGGGCCUUGUACACACCGCCCGUCACACCAUGGGAGUGGGUUGCAAAAGAAGUAGGUAGCUUAACCUUCGGGAGGGCGCUUACCACUUUGUGAUUCAUGACUGGGGUGAAGUCGUAACAAGGUAACCGUAGGGGAACCUGCGGUUGGAUCACCUCCUUACCUUAAAGAAGC
rnacentral:rRNA from 2 species